UUUAAAAGCCUAUAGAACAAUAACCUUGUUACCUGGUCAGGACAGAAAUGUAGCAGCCAAAUCGAGAAGUAUUGUGUCUAUAGGUCUUUUUUAUAUU
rnacentral:SRP_RNA from 1 species